rnacentral:rRNA from 1 species
GAUGAACGCUGGCGGCGUGCCUAAUACAUGCAAGUCGAGCGAACAGACGAGGAGCUUGCUCCUUUGGCGUUAGCGGCGGACGGGUGAGUAACACGUGGAUAACCUACCUAUAAGACUGGGAUAACUUCGGGAAACCGGAGCUAAUACCGGAUAACAUGUUGAACCGCAUGGUUCAACAGCGAAAGACGGUCUUGCUGUCACUUAUAGAUGGAUCCGCGCCGCAUUAGCUAGUUGGUAAGGUAACGGCUUACCAAGGCAACGAUGCGUAGCCGACCUGAGAGGGUGAUCGGCCACACUGGAACUGAGACACGGUCCAGACUCCUACGGGAGGCAGCAGUAGGGAAUCUUCCGCAAUGGGCGAAAGCCUGACGGAGCAACGCCGCGUGAGUGAAGAAGGUCUUCGGAUCGUAAAACUCUGUUAUUAGGGAAGAACAAAUGUGUAAGUAACUAUGCACGUCUUGACGGUACCUAAUCAGAAAGCCACGGCUAACUACGUG